AGAAUAGUGCUAUAGAUUUCUUCCAAAUACAGAAAACAUAAUCAUGAAAAUGUUCUUGCUGUUGAUUAUAUUCUUUACCAAUCUGUUCGUAUGGGAUUUUUGGUACUUCACUUGAAAAAUGAGUCCAAGGUACUGUGAUGUGAUUGUUUACUUUGUGUGGCCUUUCUAGCCAUGGUCUUAUAACAUCCACCCUGGUGCUUGGGCAGGACUGUGUGAUAGGGUAAUUGUGGCUCACCAAGGGGAUUGUUUAUUUUUCCUUCAAAGAGAACCAGUUCCAGAGCAAAGAGGAGGAUUCAACUCCCAUCAAGGAAGAAGAGCCAAGAGCCGAGCGUAUAUUAUGGACCUGAGAUCCCUGCACUGAGAAGCUCCUAGAAGCAGGAGACUGAGAUAGAGAGAGGAAGCUGUAACCCUGAAGAUGCUUAAAUACAGACCAGAAGAGGAGUUUGGGGCUUGACACCUGACAUCUUAACACCAGUUCCUGUUUCUUGAGGAAGGAAGAAGUAAAAUAAAUCAGCGUUUACUGUUUCCUUCUCCAUCCCCGGAAGUCCUGAUGAAGACCCUCUCAGCUUCAACUUGAACGUGAAUAUGAGCAACUGAUCAUCUGUUCUGCAGUCAGCCCCUGGCCUGAUUCUGACUCAUGAUAUUGACCUUCUCCAUCAUCACCUUCCACAAAUUUGUUUUCUGUCUAUUCUGCCUGGAGUGGUUCACGAGUAUAGUCACCGUUUAUGUUCCUGACGAAAGGCGGGACGCCCCUCCUGUGCUGUCCUCAGAAGGGCUCUUCAGGGACCGCACCCCUAGUUUGUGGAGCAGCAGAGCCUGCCCCAGUCUGGACUAGGGACUUUAUUUCUUCCACUCUCACCACUGGCUGAAGGCAGACUCCUGUCUCCACAGACUAAAGAGGAAUUAUCAAAAUGACCUCGAAACUCUAGAUUUGAGUUAAGGAUCAUAAAUUAACACAGAGAAAUACAACUUUAACAACAAAGACCUGUUUAGAGCCCCAGUUGGAAUUAAAAAAAAAAAAAAACUUGAACAGAGGGAGUGAUAAAGUCUUCCUUCUUUUGCCACCCUCUCUCGGUGGUCCCAAGCUUUCUCAUCUCCCACCUCACAAGACUGUAUCAACUGCUUUGAGACUUUUAGAAUAAAGAUCCCCAGGCAUAUCACUGCUGUUACCCUGUGAGGAUUUCCCCAGUGCUGGGUUAGACUAAGACAGAAUCCUUCCAAGGCUUCCAGGGCCUGUGUACUGGACGGUCAACACACAGAGCCUCAGAGCCCACUUCGUUUUUCCUGCAGUUGGGCAUGACCCCAGGGACAUGACCCUUGAGAGUGCUGACACUUCCUGAAGCCAGUGACCCUCCCCCUGGGCUUCUCCCUCCCUGGGUCUCAGAAUCUUUGAGGCCAACUUGUACCCUCAGAAGUGUUUCUGCUGAAGGACACGUAAACAGCACUGUGGAGUUGUGUCCCACAGUCUGCAAAACUGCCUCCCCUGAGCGGGGUGAGGAGCUACUGAAAUACUGAAAUCAUUGAAACUAACAGAAGCCACAGCUCAUGGUGCUGGGAGAAAACUGGGAAGGACGGAGAGGUGAAGAGGCUAUAAAGGCCCAGUCGUGAAGGCGACCAUGAGCCAGGAUGUCCUGAAGUCGCAAAGCUGACCAAUGCUGAGUGCCCUAAAACCUGCCACUCCUGUGCCCGUCUUUUCUUUCAAUGGACAAAGUCUUCCCCUGCUCUUAUGUGCCUGGGCUGGAAGGGCCUUUGACUUAUAACAUGAAGCAGCCUCCAGAACCUCUUGGGGCAAGUGAUGGUCAAGGAGGCUCUGCCUAACCCCACCCUGCCCUUCCCAGUUGUCAGAGGACCAGGAAUUUCAGUCUUCCAGCUCCUGGGCUGAUCUAGUGACUUGUAACAGGAUUUCGCUGGAACUGGAAGGUGUUGAAGACAGGAAAUACUCCUGGGUUUCCUCACCCAGCUGAAUGCCUAGUUCCUGGUGUUAUUACACGGCUUACAUUCAGGAUAAGAAGAGGCGUUUGGGGCUUGACACAUGACCUCUUAGCAGCGGUUUCUGUUCAGGAGCGAAGAGGUAAAAAGAAGCAGUGUCUACUAAGUCCUUUUCCAAGAGUCUCAGGAAAUUCUCACGAAGACCCUCUCAGGUAAGGACUGACGGGAAAUGCCUUGGUUUAAUAUUAAACUUUGCCCUUGACACAUUUUGUUUAUGGAGGGCAUAUACAAUAUUCUCCGCUCAAGGAAGCACUGUAAUUCUUAUCUAGACUUUAUGUAGAAUGACUGUGUAUAAAACCUAAACUUGGUCCUUAAGCAAGGGGUUACCUCUCAGAGAAGGCCUAUGGGAAGGUUUCUACCAAAUUCUGUGGUGCUGCCAUUGCUCCAAGGAGCCCAGGUGGUGCCAAGUUUGAGCACUCGGCUGUUAACCGAACGUUAGUUUUUUGAACCCACCAAAAGGCUCUAAGGAGUAAAGACCUGGCGAACUGCUUCCAUUAAGAUUACAAACCAGGAAACCCUAUCGGGGCAGUUCUCCUUUUACACUGGGCC